AAAUCUUGCUCUAAGUUGCCGAAAUAUUAAUUAAAAUAAAAAACAGAUGAAGUUCAAUGAGAACCAGAAACUCUGGCUGUUGUGCUUUUAUUAAUCAACCAAUGAGUAACUUAUUCUCUUCCAAGAAGCUGUAGGUUGGUACUUCCAGGUUGUACGGUGCAGGGCCUUUUCGAAUCCUUCCAGAAAUAUCGUAGUGUGAACCGUGACACGGGCAGAACCAACCUCCAUAGUCACCAGCAUUAGGCAAAGGGAUGCACCCCAAAUGAGUGCAGACUCCAACCACCACUAACCAUUCCGGAUUCUUGACCCUCACCGAGUCUUCUUGUGGAUCCCUCAGAGAUCCAACAUCCACGCUAUUGGCCAGCUUGAUGUCAUCUUCUGUUCUUCUCCUGAUGAAGACGGGCUUUCCACGCCACUUCACUGUAACAGUAGUACCCGGUUCUAUGGUCCCGAGGUCAACCUCAAGAGAUGCAAGGGCAAGAACAUCUUUACUUGCGGACAUGCUCACAACAAGCUUCAGAACAAGAAGGCGGAUAACAGAGGCAUAGACAAACCUCCCACCAGACAAGACAAAAUAGGCAAAUGCACGCUUGCUGGGGUCACCAGGUGGGUAACGCUCAUGGUUAUGGUUAUCAUAGACAAUCUUUGAGUUAGGUGUUUUGACAGCUUCGACUGUGGCUGGGACUUCCGAACCAAAACCUACCUCAUUUCCUUGAGUGAGGACUUGAGAAGAGAAACCUGAAAGAUAGCAUGAAUCAUUAAUAUAUUCACAUCAAAACAAACCUUUUUGGGUCAAGUAUUCUACUAAAGCAAAAAUAUUUACGCAAACAAAAGAUCUGCUACAGCUAUAAAGAUGUGACCAUUGAUGAAAAAACUUCUAAGGAAAAACAAAAGUACAUAAAAACGGAAUCCAUGCAGGAAUAUAGAGAUUCAUGAAAACAAUACUCUAGCAUAAUAUCAAAUUCAGAAAAACUAAAGGCACUCUAAUCAACGGAAAAAUUAAGAAAACAGAUCCAGUGAUCAGAUGCUGUAUAUUACAAAAUUGCUUAAAACACAACAACACUCCCAAGCAAAGAUCUUUUGGUUAACAAGAUAUACAUUCCAGAAUGAAAGUUCCUCAGCAUGCCUAUUCAGUGCUAUAAAUACUCCAAAUCAUGUAUAUAGCGAAAACUACCAUCUCCCUAAUAAUGAAGAAAUACAUGGAUACACAAGAUGAGAACUUUAGAAAUCAAGAAGCGUGAAUCAACUAUAGAUAACGAACCCUAAGGUUUUAGAAACAAAAGAGAGUAAUUUGGAAGCUUUUCUCAUCAAACAAAGGAUUAUCCCAGAACUAGUCAAUCAUAUCCGAUCAAUAAACUCAAAUGUCAUUUCUUUCUGGAAAAAAAGACGCGAUCAUAGAAGGCAUCACCAUUUCGGCAAGGAGAAGAAUGACAGGAAAUGGUAUAUAGAGCUCUAAAACACCAUCCUAGUUCACGGGAUGCAAUAGCGAGAACACGUUCAUUCCCUCGUAUCAUCAACGCGGAAAUACAAUACUAGGAAUCUCAAUCAUUUCCGGCACAAAUAAGGAAAAAAUGUGAUUUUUUAAAAAAAAAUCAUUCAAUAAAUAAUACCUACAAACAACACGAGAAAUGAAAAUCGAUCCAGAGAGAGAAAGGGUUGUAAAUUGGCAGACCUCUUAGAAGGCUCCGGUGAUCAGAAUUGAAAUAUGAAAGACCUGCAGAGGCGACGGAUCUGGGGGCUGAAGAGGAGUCGCCGCCAUCGGAGAGCGUAUGGUCUCGCGAGAGAGCGAAGGAGGACGCAGUGGAAGAUCUCUGCGAAACAGACAAAAGCCUCCUCCCUGCAACUCGCAGCAUCUUCACUCAAUGGUAAUGGCCGAAUCUAGGGUUUGGCUCUAGCAAGAACAGAGUCCGAAUGUUAGGGACGGCCGAUGCAAAGAGAAGGAGAGUCCCUUAAAAUUAGUCUUCGAGAAAAGAAAAGGUCAAUUUGGUUUUUACUAUUAAACAUUUAUAUAUCCUGACCAAAAUUAAUUUUUAUUUUUUCAGUUUGAUUUUUGUUAUGAUUUUUUGGUACUGCGAUAUAUUUUGGUUUUAUUAUUUUUCUGGGUCUAGUCAAGACAAAUGAUAUUCAUUUUUACCUAACUUAAAUAAAUAAAAAGAACAAUAUAUAGAGAGAUCCCUUUCCAAUAAUUAGAUUAGAUGGAUAUACUUUCCUGUGAAGUAUAAUCGUAAUACUGUAUCAGGUCAAUUUCAGAAGAAAGAUUGGCCUGAUCGUGUAGAGCUUAUAUAGUUUGUGCUUUAGCAAAUGUACUUAGACAAUGCCAACAUACGGCAGAUAACUGGUAGAACAAACCGAGAAUGUUUUGCAAAUUUUUUCCGUUGCGACAAUAGUUUCAAGAGAAUUAGUCUCUAGAAUUACCUCGCUCAAUGGAUUCACAAGCAACGUUUCAAGGUUUUAAAGGAGAGAGGAUAAAACUGAGACUAAGAGUCAAGCAGGGAGCUGAUACAGUGAUACUAUUCAAAAUCCAAAAUUCUUUUCAAACAAUAAACACAAACUAUGGACAGUGUUUUUCACCGGAUAAGACAGAUGCUAAGUCAUACAAUGACAAGUUUGUAUUAUUCAGCAAAACAAGACAAUCUUGCUGAGAGACCCAAGUGUGAGGACAGCGAACUCGCACGCUAAAAUUUAAGCCCGGAAAUUAUAAAAACAAAAACAUAUGAAGAUCUUUGAGACACAGACGCUGUCUGUUGUGCAUUUAUUCAUCAACCAAUGAGUAACUUAUUCUCUUCCAAGAAGCUGUAGGUUGGUACUUCCAGGUUGUACGGUGCAGGACCUUUUCGGAUCCUUCCAGAGAUAUCGUAAUGCGAACCGUGACACGGGCAGAACCAACCUCCAAAGUCACCAGCAUUAGGCAAGGGGAUGCACCCCAAAUGAGUGCAGACUCCAACCACCACUAACCAUUCCGGAUUCUUGACCCUCACCGAGUCU
rnacentral:lncRNA from 1 species